rnacentral:rRNA from 1 species
GAUGAACGCUGGCGGCGUGCCUAAUACAUGCAAGUCGAGCGAACAGACGAGUAGCUUGCUCCUCUGAUGUUAGCGGCGGACGGGUGAGUAACACGUGGAUAACCUACCUAUAAGACUGGGAUAACUUCGGGAAACCGGAGCUAAUACCGGAUCAUAUCUUGAACCGCAUGGUUCAAUAGUGAAAGACGGUUUUGCUGUCACUUAUAGAUGGAUCCGCGCGGCAUUAGCUAGUUUGUAAGGUAACGGCUUACCAAGGCAGCGAUGGGUAGCCGACCUGAGAGGGUGAUCGGCCACACUGGCACUGAGAGACGGUCCAGACUCCUACGGGAGGCAGCAGUAGGGAAGCUUCCGCAAUGGGCGAAAGCCUGACGGAGCAACGCCGCGUGAGUGAUGAAGGUCUUCGGAUCGGAAAACGCUGUUAUUAGGGAAGAACAAAUGUGUAAGUAACUAUGCACGUCUUGACGGUACCUAAUCAGAAAGCCACGGCUAACUACGUG